GCCGGCAUGGCACAAUCUGGUACUGCGCUGGACUUGAGAUCCAGUUCCGAAAGGUUUCCCGGUUCAAAUCCGGGUGCCGGCG
rnacentral:tRNA from 1 species